rnacentral:rRNA from 1 species
AUGGAGAAAGAAGGUAAAAAUGAAAAGAAAAUUCAGGCGCGUGGUCUUGUAGCAUAUUUUGAGAUCUUUGAUUUUGUGUUUUAUUUGCACAUGAUGCUGCAUAUAUUAGGAAAUGCAAAUACUUUGUCACAUUCUUUACAAAAGAAGGAUCAAGACAUCAUAAAUGCCAUGUCAUGUGUCAAGUCCAUAAGGAAUGAGCUACAAGAACUAAGGGAGAAUGGAUGGGACUCACUGAUACAGAACGCAUAUUCAUUUUGUGAAGAAAAUCACAUUGAGAAGGCAGACAUGCAGGAGCAAUAUAUCAAUCGACACAAACCAAGACAUAAAACUAAUAAGACAAACCUCCAGCAUUACCGAGUAGAGUGUCGAGUAGAGUGUCUUAAUUCUAUUAUUGACUGGCAACUUCAAGAGUUUGAUGACCGUUUCAAUGAGAUAAAUUCUGCAUUACUUGGUUACAUGGCUUCUUUCAACCCAAAUGAUGGAUUUGUUGCUUUUAACUUGGAUAGCUUAGUGAAGCUAGCUGAGUUUUAUCCAGAUGAUUUUGAUUCAAAAAAAUGGAUGAUCUUGGUCCUGAACUGCGCACUUACAUUGAUAAUGUGCGAGCGGAUGAAAGGUUUGCUAAUUUGGACGGGAUUGCUGAUCUUGCGAAGUUAA